rnacentral:rRNA from 1 species
UUAAGUCCCGCAACGGCGCGACCCUCGACCUUAGUUGCCAGCAUUCAGCUGGGGCACUCUAAGGUGACUGCCGGCUAAAAGUCGGAGGAAGUGGGGAUGACGUCAAAUCAUCAUGCCCCUUAUGACCUGGGCUACACACGUGCUACAAUGGGCGGUACAAAGGGUCGCGAACCCGCGAGGGGGAGCCAAUCCCAAAAAGCCGCUCUCAGUUCGGAUUGUAGGCUGCAACUCGCCUACAUGAAGUUGGAAUCGCUAGUAAUCGCGGAUCAGCACGCCGCGGUGAAUACGUUCCCGGGCCUU